GACGAACGCUGGCGGCGUGCUUAACACAUGCAAGUCGAACGGAAAGGCCCGGCUUUUGUGGGGUGCUGGAGUGGCGAACGGGUGAGUAAAACGUGAGUAACCUGCCCUUUACUUUGGGAUAAAUUCAGGAAACAGGGGCUAAUAUCGGACAGGAGAUCUUGCUGCACGGGUGGGGUUGGAAAGUUUCGGCGGUUGGUGAUGGACUCGCGGUUAAUCGGCUUGUUGGUGAGGUAGUGGAUUACCAAGGCUUUGACGGGUAGCCGACCUGGGAGUGUGACCGGCCCCAAUGGGCCUGCGGUACGGCCCGUACUCCAACGGGAGGCAACGGUGGAGAAUAUUGCGCAAUGGGCGGACGCCUGAUACAACGACGCCGCGUGCGGGAUGCCUGCCUUUGGGUUGUAAACCGCUUUCGCCUGUAACGAAGCGUGAGUGACGGUAAUGAGUAAGGAAGCACCGGCUAACUACGUG
rnacentral:rRNA from 1 species